rnacentral:rRNA from 1 species
AUUGAACGCUGGCGGCAGGCCUAACACAUGCAAGCCGAGCGGAGCGGCGGACGGGUGAGUAAUGCCUAGGAAUCUGCCUGGUAGUGGGGGAUAACGUCCGGAAACGGGCGCUAAUAUCGCAUACUCUCAGAUGAGCCUAGGUCGGAUUAGCUAGUUGGUGGGGUAAAGGCCUACCAAGGCGACGAUCCGUAACUGGGCUGAGAGGAUGAUCAGUCACACUGGAACUGAGACACGGUCCCGACUCGUACGGAAGGCAGCAGUGGGGAGUAUUGGACGAUGGGCGAAAGCCUGAUCCAGCCAUGCCGCGGGUGUGAAUAAGGGCUUCGGAAUGUAAAGCACUUUAAGUUGGGAGGCGUUACCAACAGAAUAAGCACCGGCUAACUUCGUGCCAGCAGCCGCGGUAAUAC